GCCGGAGUCAUGUGAAAUGUCUACGCACAGGACUUAAAAUCCUGCGGUAGGUGACUACCGUACCGGUUCGAUCCCGGUCCUCGGCA
rnacentral:tRNA from 1 species